AUGGCUCCGAAGACAUCGACGUUAUGGACGACGAUGCCGACAAGGAGCAAGGCCAAGACCCACCAUUCACUGGAUGUUGGACGACCACCUCUUCGUACGACGUGUACAUGGUUGAUACACCUAAAGGAUCUGGCAACGACAAAGAAGAGCCGGAUGCGAAUAAACCCUCUGAGACGCAGUCCAGGCGCCGGCGCCCUAAACGCCGCUCUAAGUCACGUCGCUCAAAAGACAGCAACACCGGCACCGGAGAAAAUAGUACCCCGGGCGACGCCGAAAACAAUGAAGACCUGCUGGAGCUGCAUCCGAAAAGGAGGAGCAAGACAACGGUCAAGAUGA
rnacentral:rRNA from 1 species